GAUGAACGCUGGCGGCGUGCCUAAUACAUGCAAGUCGAGCGAACGGACGAGAAGCUUGCUUCUCUGAUGUUAGCGGCGGACGGGUGAGUAACACGUGGAUAACCUACCUAUAAGACUGGGAUAACUUCGGGAAACCGUAGCUAAUACCGGAUAAUAUUUUGAACCGCAUGGUUCAAAAGUGAAAGACGGUCUUGCUGUCACUUAUAGAUGGAUCCGCGCUGCAUUAGCUAGUUGGUAAGGUAACGGCUUACCAAGGCAACGAUGCAUAGCCGACCUGAGAGGGUGGUCGGCCACACUGGAACUGCAACACGGUCCUGACUCCUGAGGGAGGCAGCAGUAGGGAAUCUUCCGCAAUGGGCGAGAGCCUGACGGAGCGACGCAGCGUGAGUGAUGAACGUGUUCGGAUCGUAAAAAACUGUUAUGAGGGAAGAACAUAUGUGUAAGUGACUGUGCACAUCUUGACGGUACCUAAUCAGAAAGCCACGGCUAACUACGUG
rnacentral:rRNA from 1 species